rnacentral:tRNA from 1 species
UGCCGGGUGGUGUAAUUGGUAACACGCCUCCCUUUGGAGGAGGAUACUCCAGGUUCGAGCCCUGGCCCGGCAG